rnacentral:lncRNA from 1 species
GAAGGCAGGUAAUGAAUUGGUUGGGAAUUGACUUUGGGUUUGAGGUGGGUCAUGAUCGUUGAUUUGCUUGAACUUACUCUCGAGCCCAAUGUCGUUUAAAUUUAAUUUUUGCUAAACUGCUUCAGACUGGACUCAACAAGGCUAAAAGCAGGACCGUGACUUAAUAAGAGGGUUAAUCAAAUAUUUUCCUGUACAAUUAUAACUUUUAAUCUAAUCAAGACCAAAGCCCAUUUAAUUAUAAUCUUAGCCGGGUCAACACAAUCUCCUU